rfam:Schistosoma mansoni, Puerto Rico, WGS project CABG01000000 data, contig: 0247
AUCCAGCUGACCAGUCCCAAAUAGGACGAAGCGCGCGUCCUGGAU